rnacentral:rRNA from 1 species
CCCGUGGGGGGUAGACCUUCUUGUUUUAAGCAUCCCUCAGAUGUUCAGUUCUUGGAGUCGGAUUGCUUGAGAAUGCAGUCCAAAGUGGGUGGUAAACUCCAUCCAAGGCUAAAUACCUGCAUGAGUCCGAUAGUAGACAAGUACCGCGAGGGAAAGUUGAAAAGUACUCUGAAGAGAGAGUAAAUAGUACGUGAAGCCGCCUGUAUGGAAGCUGGUGGAGUCAAGCUUCUUAUUGUGGGAAUUGCACAUGGAGAUCAUUUGUUCGCGGAUAAGGGAUUCAUUGGCUUGGAAAUAACCUGAUGGUUCGCCAUUGCAAUUAUUCCUGGCAGUAUAUUUGUCGUGGGUCCUAAUUUUCCUUCUCUUAUGUUAUUUUCGAUAAUAGAUAUCACAGUCAAUGGGUAUUGGUAUGCGUGGGAGUCAACCCGUGUUAUAGGGGGUUUCUUACUUCCUAGGCAUGGGAUGGCAGGGGGACGUAUUCCGAAUUUAUUUGGUUUACUUCGUAUUAUAGCUUUGCCUGCUGUCUCCCCAGCGUCAAUAAUUGUCCAUAUUGUUUUUAUUAUGGCAGUGUUCGAAAUGGUAACUCUUGUUCAUAACUGUGGUAAUGGGGUAGGCGUUUCCUUCGGCCCGUUCUGGAACCCGGGCCCAGGGGGUUUACCAUUUCCCGGAUCCAAGGGCUUAUUACGAAACCCAAAGGCGUAAUGAAAGUAAAAGGUUGCUUCUCGUGAUCGAAGGUGUGAUGCUUGCGUGCCUUGAACUGGGCUGUGAGCCGCAACACCGGCCCGUCUCAUAAUGUAGUCGGAGUGUACCGAACGGUGGCCUUUUGUCGGAU